rnacentral:rRNA from 1 species
UACGGAGGGUGCAAACGUUGCUCGGAAUCAUUGGGCGUAAAGCGCACGUAGGCGGCCUGUUAAGUCGGGUGUGAAAGCCCUCGGCUCAACCGAGGAAGUGCAUUCGAAACUGGCAGGCUUGAGUAUGGAAGAGGGUCGCGGAAUUCCCGGUGUAGAGGUGAAAUUCGCAGAUAUCAGGAGGAACACCGGUGGCGAAGGCGGGUCUCUGGGCCGAUACUGACGCUGAGGAGCGAAAGCGUGGGGAGCGAACAGG